rnacentral:lncRNA from 7 species
GGAAGAUGGUGCUGCGUCCCAUUACUCUGGAGCUGGCCGACAAGCUCCUGCAUCUUUUUAAUCACGUGUCAGGUGAAGUACGAGAGUCUUCCAUCCUCCUCUUCCAAGAUGUGAUGGAGGCUGUGGUGUGGUGGCAAAAGGGAAAAAUGCGGAAGAAUGUACGCCGGGGCCUGCUCCCUCUGCUCUUUCGGAACAGUGAUGAGACCUCAAGUGUUGCAGAGGCGGCAGGGGAAACCCUUCUUGCUUGUGCAAAGUUCCUGAACUGGCAGGAGCUCAAGCACCAGGCCGAGAAGAGGAAUAUGGUGGGGAUCAGGGAGUGCUUGCUACAGCAGGACAGGAAGAGGGUGGAUAAAUACCUGCAGCAGAGCCUGCUCUACCUGAGGGAUUCUCAGGCUGCUAUGCGACAAGAGGCUCUCUCGUUCAUUGGGCUGGCGUGGGUCUACUGGGACCAAAGUGAGGAAAUGCGGAAGAAAAUCUACAGUGUCCUCCAUCCUUUGGAACAUGACAGCCAUCCGACGAUCCGUUCUCUGGCAACUUCCACAAUCCUGAUGCUGAGAUAUUCACGUCAGCAGGCAAAAUCAGGAGGGGGCAGGCUGGUAGAACUGCGUUGCUGGCCCUGCAAUCCCCUCUUUCGUCAUAAGUAUGAUUGAUUAUGCCACUGAUUCUAUGAAGUUUUUUUAUUGUUCUAUGAUUAAAUUCUAUAAUAAC